CACAUCCAGAUGAAUCCUUUUUUGUCCUGGAAUAGAUGAGCAGUCACGCAGAUGAGUUCCCUUUGAUUGAACACAGCACUCGGUAGGGAACAAGUCAAUGGUGUGACGCUCUUUUUCAGGAAUGCAGAGCUACAUUUCACCUCUGUUUCCCGUUUUUGGGACUGAAGAGACUCCAACAUGCGAUCAAUAAGCACCUUGGUGGCAGAGCCGAGCUGAAGCCUGAAGAGCUCCAGGUGGACAUUUGCAGACACCUUGCCAAAGAAAAUGCAGAACUGCUGGAGAACUUGUAUAGCACCACCAUCGCGUCCUUCAGUAGCAGCUGGGAAGGGAUCCGGGCAGGUGCCGCCAACUUAGCUGGCAUCAUCCUGGAACACACAGACACUCAGCGUAUGAAAUGGCUGGACCUGGAACAUCUGCUGAUGUGUAAGUGAUAAAUACAGCUCAAGUCCUGCUCAUUAAUGAGUUAUAAAGGAAUAUAGCUGACAAGCAGCAGUAACCGAUACCACUGGUGCAAAGUGCAUCAGCCACACAUCAAAGGACAAAUUCACUCUUGCCCAGUAGAAAGUCAGCCUUAAUUUCCCCUGAAGGAGGAAGCUGCAGAAGGUGUGAUAUGAGUCAGUGCAUCUCCUG